AAGGCACACUUCUGUGCUUCAUAUUUCUAAAAUCAGGUUGCUUCUUACUACAUUAAGUGUAUACAUUAUUGUGAUGCUUUUUCAUCCUCCAAAACAAGUUAUUAAAUUGAUGGCACUUUCUUUAAUUGGGAGGAAUGAUGAUGAUAAUGAUGAAGAGGAGAAGAAGAGGAGGAGGAGGAGAAGGAGGAGGGGAGGAGAAGCCCACUUCUCUUGGGUCAUAAAAGACCUUGCAGCAUCAGCCUUGCUGUUCCUUCUUGGGUUGCUUGCUCUGGGGGAAGCCAGCUGUCACAUCACAAGGAUAAGCAACUCUAUGAAGAAAUCCCCAUGGCAAAGAACUGAGGCCUCCUUCCAACAACCAGCACAAACUUGCCAGGCAUGCAGUGAGCCAUCUUAGAAGUGGAUCCUUCAGCCUGUCAAGCCUUUAGGUGACUUCAGAUGACCGGCCAACGUCUUGAGAUCUCAUGAGAGACCCCAAGCCAGAACUAUCUAUCCAAGCCAUUUGGAGAUUCUUGACCCACAGAAACCGUGUGACAUAACACAUGUUCCUGCUUAUUGUUUAGAGGAGCUAAAUUUUGGGUAAUUUCUUAUGUAGCAAUAGGCAAUUAAUACAUGAUCGUGGGCAAAAUCCUUUGGCUAUAGACUAGAUGUUUACAUCCCCCAAAAUUCAUAUGUUGAAACCUAAUCCCCUUCGAGAUGGCACUUGGAGGUGGGGCCUUUGGUAGGUGAUUAGGUCACGAGGGUGGAGCCCUCAUGGGUAGGAUUAGUGCCCUUAGGAAAGAGACCCCAGGGAGCAAAAAGAUGGUCAUCACCAGGAAACAGGCCCUCACCAGACACCAAAUUGGCUGCCACCUUGAUCUCAGACUUCCCAGCCUCCAGAACAAUGAGAAAUAAAUUUCUGUUAUUUAUAA